rnacentral:rRNA from 1 species
UACGUAGGGCGCAAGCGUUGUCCGGAAUUAUUGGGCGUAAAGAGCUUGUAGGUGGCUUGUCGCGUCUGCCGUGAAAACCCGAGGCUCAACCUCGGGCGUGCGGUGGGUACGGGCAGGCUAGAGUGUGGUAGGGGAGACUGGAACUCCUGGUGUAGCGGUGAAAUGCGCAGAUAUCAGGAAGAACACCGAUGGCGAAGGCAGGUCUCUGGGCCAUUACUGACACUGAGAAGCGAAAGCAUGGGUAGCGAAC